rnacentral:rRNA from 1 species
CACGUAGGGGGCGAGCGUUGUCCGGAUUUAUUGGGCGUAAAGAGCGCGCAGGCGGUCGAUCAAGUCGCGUGUGAAAGCCCCCGGCUCAACUGGGGAGGGUCACGCGAUACUGAUCGACUCGAAGGCAGGAGAGGGUAGUGGAAUUCCCGGUGUAGUGGUGAAAUGCGUAGAUAUCGGGAGGAACACCAGUGGCGAAGGCGACUACCUGGCCUGUUUCUUGACGCUGAGGCGCGAAAGCUAGGGGAGCAAACGGG